rnacentral:rRNA from 1 species
UACGGGGGGGCAAGCGUUGUUCGGAAUUACUGGGCGUAAAGGGCUCGUAGGUGGCCAACUAAGUCAGACGUGAAAUCCCUCGGCUUAACCGGGGAACUGCGUCUGAUACUGGAUGGCUUGAGUUUGGGAGAGGGAUGCGGAAUUCCAGGUGUAGCGGUAGAAAUGCGUAGAUAUCUGGAGGAACACCGGUGGCGAAGGCGGCAUCCUGGACCAAUACUGACACUGAGGAGCGAAAGCCAGGGGAGCAAACGGG